GCACCCGUAGCUCAGCUGGAUAGAGCAUCUGAUUGCGGUUCAGAAGGUCGGGCGUUCGAAUCGCUCCGGGUGCGCCA
rnacentral:tRNA from 3 species